rnacentral:lncRNA from 1 species
AUCAAGCGAUUCGGCUGAUGAGGGAUCGGAUCAGCCGAGUUCGAAGAUCUUUGCUGUAGACUCGGUUUGGCUGAAUGAGCCGAAGAGGAUGGAAUGCACAAAGACUUUGGUCGGCCGAAGAGUCAAAUAGAUGGAACACACAGUGGCUGGUCGGCUGAAAGAACCGAAUGCCUUUAUAUAUAUAUUGAAAUGAAGUUGGAAACUCAUACAAAAUAGAGUGUGCCCGAAGGGUAUACAGACUCUGAAAAUCUAGAUUACAACAGAGUGUGCCCGUGGGGCAAACAGACUCCAGAGAUCUAACUUAAAAAUUACUCCUAGGAAAGCGAUAAAUGCAGAAAGUAAAAGUAUUGAAAAUGCGGUGGUCAUCUCGUUUAGGGGAGAGAAAGACCUCUAUUACAGGCUUCAAAGUUACUAUUUAUAAUAUCUUAUCAGCCCACAUUAUUGGUUGGUUAUAGUAGUGGGGGAAGUGGUGUAGCCAUGAUCAUAGAAGUUAAUUACGCCCCACUUCUCAUGAAAGUUACGCCUCACUUCACAUAUACGCCCUACUUCUCAACCGUUCCCGCCUAAACGCUAUUGACCUUCAGGCGCCUUAUUGCCGACUCCUGGUGUACCACGUGUCAUUAUUUCUUUAGCUCGUACGU